AGUGAACGCUGGCGGUAGGCCUAACACAUGCAAGUCGAACGGCAGCACAGGAGAGCUUGCUCUCUGGGUGGCGAGUGGCGGACGGGUGAGGAAUACAUCGGAAUCUACUUUUUCGUGGGGGAUAACGUAGGGAAACUUACGCUAAUACCGCAUACGACCUACGGGUGAAAGCAGGGGAUCUUCGGACCUUGCGCGAUUGAAUGAGCCGAUGUCGGAUUAGCUAGUUGGCGGGGUAAAGGCCCACCAAGGCGACGAUCCGUAGCUGGUCUGAGAGGAUGAUCAGCCACACUGGAACUGAGCCACGGUCCAGACUCCGACGGGAGGCAGCAGUGGGGAAUAUUGGACAAUGGGCGCAAGCCUGAUCCAGCCAUACCGCGUGGGUGAAGAAGGCCUUCGGGUUGUAAAGCCCUUUUGUUGGGAAAGAAAUCCAGCUGGUUAAUACCCGGUUGGGAUGACGGUACCCAAAGAAUAAGCACCGGCUAACUUCGUGCCAGCCGCCGCAGUAA
rnacentral:rRNA from 1 species